UAAUCAAGUAACUGCCGAAGACAGUAGGUGCUGUAAAAGCGUAAGGAUAGAAACGCCUACCGAGGAAGGAUAGAUUUGAUACAAUGUGUAUGAAUUUAUGAGCCUCUGCGUCUUUGGAUGCAGAGGCUUUUAAU
rnacentral:sRNA from 1 species